GUCCGUGUGGCUCUGUUGGUAGAGCAUGGUGUUUGCAAUGCCAGGGUUGUGGGUUCGAUUCCCACGGGGGACC
rfam:Salmo salar isolate Sally breed double haploid chromosome ssa03, whole genome shotgun sequence.